rnacentral:rRNA from 1 species
AACGUAGGAGACAAACGUUAUCCGGAGUUACUGGGCGUAAAGGGCGUGUAGGUGGUUUCGUAAGUCUGGCGUGAAAAUUUUUCGGCUUAACCGGGAAAGGUCGUCGGAUACUGCGGAACUAGAGGACGGUAGAGGCGUGUGGAAUCCGGGUGUAGUGGUGAAAUGCGUAGAGAUCCGGAGGAACACCAGUGGCGAAGGCGACACGCUGGGCCGUACCUGACACUGAUGCGCGACAGCAUGGGGAGCAAACAGGAG